rnacentral:rRNA from 1 species
GCAGAAAUGCUCCGGCGCCUCAGGAUGGGUCUGCGGCCUAUCAGGGUAGUAGUGGGUGUAACGUACCCACUAGCCUACGACGGGUACGGGUUGUGAGAGCAAGAGCCCGGAGAUGGAUUCUGAGACAUGAAUCCAGGCCCUACGGGGUGCAGCAGGCGCGAAAACUUUACAAUGCGGGCAACCGCGAUAAGGGGACCUCGAGUGCUGGGUUACAAACCUGGCUGUUGGGCUGCCUAAAAAGCAGUCUAUAGCAAGGGCCGGGCAAGACCGGUGCCAGCCGCCGCGGUAACACCGGCGGCUCGAGUGGUAACCGCUGUUAUUGGGUCUAAAGGGUCUGUAGCCUGCCGGCUAAGUCUCUUGGGAAAUCUGGCAUCUCAAGUGUCAGGCUGCCAGGGGAUACUGGUCAGCUUGGGACCGGGAGAGGUGAGAGGUACCUCAGGGGUAGGGGUGAAAUCUUGUAAUCCUUGAGGACCACCAGUGGCGAAGGCGUCUCACCAGAACGGAUCCGACGGCAAGGGACGAAAGCUAGGGGCACGAACCGGAUUAGAUACCCGGGUAGUCCUAGCCGUAAACGAUACUCGCUAGGUGUCGGCCACGGUGCGACCGUGGUCGGUGCCGUAGGGAAGCCGUGAAGCGAGC